rnacentral:rRNA from 1 species
GACGAACGCUGGCGGCGUGCUUAACACAUGCAAGUCGAACGGAAAGGCCCUGCUUUUGUGGGGUGCUCGAGUGGCGAACGGGUGAGUAACACGUGAGUAACCUGCCCUUGACUUUGGGAUAACUUCAGGAAACUGGGGCUAAUACCGGAUAGGAGCUCCUGCUGCAUGGUGGGGGUUGGAAAGUUUCGGCGGUUGGGGAUGGACUCGCGGCUUAUCAGCUUGUUGGUGGGGUAGUGGCUUACCAAGGCUUUGACGGGUAGCCGGCCUGAGAGGGUGACCGGCCACAUUGGGACUGAGAUACGGCCCAGACUCCUACGGGAGGCAGCAGUGGGGAAUAUUGCACAAUGGGCGGAAGCCUGAUGCAGGAACGCCGCGUGCGGGAUGACGGCCUUCGGGUUGUAAACCGCUUUCGCCUGUGACGAAGCGUGAGUGACGGUAAUGGGUAAAGAAGCACCGGCUAAAUACGUG